CCUACGGGUGGCAGCAGUGAGGAAUAUUGGUCAAUGGGCGGGAGCCUGAACCAGCCAAGUCGCGUGAAGGAAGAAGGUACUUAGUAUUGUAAACUUCUUUUGUCGGGGAACCAAGUCGGAGACGCGUCUCCGGAUGAGUGUACCCGAAGAAAAAGCAUCGGCUAACUCCGUGCCAGCAGCCGCGGUAAUACGGAGGUGGCAAGCGUUGUCCGGAUUUACUGGGUGUACAGGGCGUGCAGCCGGGAAGACAAGUCAGAUGUGAAAUCCCGCGGCUCAACCGCGGAACUGCAUUUGAAACUGUUUUUCUUGAGUACCGGAGAGGUCAUCGGAAUUCCUUGUGUAGCGGUGAAAUGCGUAGAUAUAAGGAAGAACACCAGUGGCGAAGGCGGAUGACUGGACGGCAACUGACGGUGAGGCGCGAAAGCGUGGGGAGCAAACAGGAUUAGAUACCCGAGUAGUC
rnacentral:rRNA from 1 species